GAUGAACGCUGGCGGCGUGCCUAAUACAUGCAAGUCGAGCGAACAGACGAGGAGCUUGUUCCUUUGACGUUAGCGGCGGACGGGUGAGUAACACGUGGAUAACCUACCUAUAAGACUGGGAUAACUUCGGGAAACCGGAGCUAAUACUGGAUAAUAUAUUGAACCGCAUGGAUCAAUCGUGAAAGAAGGUUUUGCUGUUACUUAUAGAUGGAUCCGCGCCGCAUUAGCUAGUUGGUAAGGUAACGGCUUACCAAGGCAACGAUGCGUAGCCGACCUGAGAGGGUGAUCGGCCACACUGGAACUGAGACACGGUCCAGACUCCUACGGGAGGCAGCAGUAGGGAAUCUUCCGCAAUGGGCGAAAGCCUGACGGAGCAACGCCGCGUGAGUGAUGAAGGUCUUCGGAUCGUAAAACUCUGUUAUUAGGGAAGAACAAAUGUGUAAGUAACUAUGCACGUCUUGACGGUACCUAAACAGAAAGCCACGGCUAACUACGUG
rnacentral:rRNA from 1 species